rnacentral:rRNA from 1 species
GACGGAGGGUGCAAGCGUUGUUCGGAUUGACUGGGCGUAAAGGGCGUGUAGGCGGUCGGCCAAGUCUGAUGUGAAAGCCCGAGGCUCAGCCUCGGAAGUGCGUCGGAAACUAGUCGGCUGGAGCGCGAUAGAGGAGGGUGGAAUUCCUGGUGUAGCGGUGAAAUGCGUAGAUAUCAGGAAGAACACCCGUGGCGAAGGCGGCUCUCUGGGACGGUACUGACGCUGAGACGCGAAAGCGUGGGGAGCGAACAGG